rnacentral:rRNA from 1 species
GACGUAGGGAGCGAGCGUUGUCCGGAUUCAUUGGGCGUAAAGCGCGCGUAGGCGGUUUGGUAAGUCGGAUGUGAAAUCCCGAGGCUCAACCUCGUGACUGCAUCCGAUACUGCCCGACUAGAGGUAGGUAGGGGAGAUCGGAAUUCCUGGUGUAGCGGUGAAAUGCGCAGAUAUCAGGAGGAACACCGAUGGCGAAGGCAGGUCACUGGGCCGCAACUGACGCUGAGGAGCGAAAGCAUGGGGAGCGAACAGG